rnacentral:rRNA from 1 species
CCCUUAGAUGUUCUGGGCCGCACGCGCGCUACAAUGAUGAAUUCAACGAGUUUAUAACCUUGGUUGAAAAGCCUGGGUAAUCUUUUGAACUUUCGUCGUGAUGGGGCUAGACCCUUGCAAUUAUUGGUCUCCAACGAGGAGUUCCUAGUAAACGCAAGUCAUCAGCUUGCAUUGAUUACGUCCCUGCCCUUUGUACACACCGCCCGUCGCACCUACCGAUUGAAUGGUCCGGUGAAAUCUUCGGAUUGAGACUUUGAUUUCUUCACGGAAAACGCUGUUUUAAGAAGUUGAUUAAACCUUACCAUUUAGAGGAAGGUGAAGUCGUAACA